rnacentral:rRNA from 1 species
AUGCCGCUUCCCCGCGUAUCGCUCCGCCUCCUGCCGCCGCCGCCGCCGCACGCCGGCGCGGCCGUCCUCCACCGUCUCCUUCGCGGCCUCUGCACAACGGAAGCGCCUCCCUCCCCCCUCUCCCCGUCCGAGCUCGACACCAUCUCCGCGCUCAUCCCGCGGCUCAUCUCCGAGGGCCAGGUCCCCGCCGCCGGCCGCCUCCUCUCCGCGGCGCUCCUCCUGCCGGGCUCCCCGGAGCGCCUCCCGUUCCCCCCGCUCGCCGAGCACCUCGCCUCCCUGCCCACCCUCACCCCGGCCUUCGCCCUACUCACCGCGCUCCGCCACCACCCCGUCCGCCCCUCGCCGCUCCCGCUCGCCACCCCGCUCCUCGGCCACCUCCUCGCGAUGCGCCGCGCCCGCGAGGCCGCCUCCGUGCUCCGCUGGCUCUGCCGCCCCGACUCCCCGCGCCGGCCCGACGCCGCCACCUACGGCAUCGCCGUCGCCGGGUUCUGCAGGCUCGGGGACCCCAAGAGCGCGCUCGUCGCCCUCGGCGAGAUGGCCUCCGACGGGGUUCCGCCCUCGCGGGAGCUGCAGGAGGCGGUGCGGGACGCGAUGCUGCAGGACGCGAGGGUCGAGGAGGCGUGGGCGCUGGAGGAGGCUAUGCGGCUGCCGGAGCCCAAGAAGACGGUGGAGAUGGUCGACAAGCUUCUUGGAGCGUGGGAAGACUGA